UGGGGAAUAUUGCACAAUGGGCGCAAGCCUGAUGCAGCAACGCCGCGUGAGUGAAGAAGGCUCUUGGGUCGUAAAGCUCUUUCGACUGGGAAGAAGGGUUUUUAGGUAAAUAAUCUAAGAAUUUGACGGUACCAGAAUAAGAAGCACCGGCUAACUCCGUGCCAGCAGCCGCGGUAAUACGGGGGGGUGCAAGCGUUGUUCGGAAUUACUGGGCGUAAAGCGCACGUAGGCGGGUUUGUAAGUCGAUUG
rnacentral:rRNA from 1 species